rnacentral:RNase_P_RNA from 2 species
CGGGCUGGCCGGGCGACCGCGUCGGGCGGGGGAGACCCCGUGCGUCGAGGAAGGUCCGGGCUCCACAGGACGAGGUGGUGGGUAACGCCCACCCGGGGCGACCCGCGGGACAGUGCCACAGAGAACAGACCGCCACUCCCGGCUCGCCGGGAGCGGCAAGGGUGAAACGGUGGUGCAAGAGACCACCAGCGCGGCGGGCGACCGUCGCGGCUCGGUAAACCCCACCUGGAGCAAGACCGAACAGCGAGCGUUCGAGGGCGGUCCGUCCGAGCUCGCGGGUAGGUCGCUGGAGGGUGUCGGCAACGGCACCCCGAGAUGGAUGGUCGCCAACCGGGCGUCCGCGAGGACACCCGGCGAACAGAACCCGGCCUACGAGCCAGCCCGUCCG